UACAGAGGUCCCGAGCGUUGUUCGGAUUCACUGGGCGUAAAGGGUGCGUAGGUGGCAUGUUAAGUUUGAUGUGAAAGCUCAGGGCUUAACCCUGAAAUGGCACUGAAUACUAGCGUGCUGGAGGUUUGGAGGGGGGACUGGAAUUCUCGGUGUAGCAGUGAAAUGCGUAGAUAUCGAGAGGAACACCAGUGGCGAAGGCGAGUCCCUGGACAACACCUGACACUGAGGCACGAAAGCCGGGGGAGCAAACAGG
rnacentral:rRNA from 1 species